GACGAACGCUGGCGGCGUGCUUAACACAUGCAAGUCGAACGGAAAGGCCCUGCUUUUGUGGGGUGCUCGAGUGGCGAACGGGUGAGUAACACGUGAGUAACCUGCCCUUGACUUUGGGAUAACUUCAGGAAACUGGGGCUAAUACCGGAUAGGAGCUCCUGCUGCAUGGUGGGGGUUGGAAAGUUUCGGCGGCUGGGGAUGGACUCGCGGCUUAUCAGCUUGUUGGUGGGGUAGCGGCUUACCAAGGCUUUGACGGGUAGCCGGCCUGAGAGGGUGACCGGCCACAUUGGGACUGAGAUACGGCCCAGACUCCUACGGGAGGCAGCAGUGGGGAAUAUUGCACAAUGGGCGGAAGCCUGAUGCAGCAACGCCGCGUGCGGGAUGACGGCCUUCGGGUUGUAAACCGCUUUCGCCUGUGACGAAGCGUGAGUGACGGUAAUAGGUAAAGAAGCACCGGCUAACUACGUG
rnacentral:rRNA from 1 species